rnacentral:rRNA from 1 species
UACGUAGGGAGCAAGCGUUGUUCGGAUUUACUGGGCGUAAAGGGCGCGUAGGCGGCAAUUCAAGUCACUUGUGAAAUCUCCGGGCUUAACUCGGAACGGUCAAGUGAUACUGCUUUGCUAGAGUGCGGAAGGGGCAAUCGGAAUUCUCGGUGUAGCGGUGAAAUGCGUAGAUAUCGAGAGGAACACCUGAGGUGAAGACGGGUUGCUGGGCCGACACUGACGCUGACAGCGCGAAAGCCAAGGGAGGCAAACGGG